GACGAACGCUGGCGGCGUGCUUAACACAUGCAAGUCGAACGAAGAGCGAUGGAAGCUUGCUUCUAUCAAUCUUAGUGGCGAACGUGUGAGUAACGCGUAAUCAACCUGCCCUUCAGAGGGGGACAACAGUUGGAAACGACUGCUAAUACCGCAUACGAUCCAAUCUCGGCAUCGGGACUGGAUGAAAGGUGGCCUCUAUUUAUAAGCUAUCACUGAAGGGGGGGAUUGCGUCUGAUUAGCUAGUUGGAGGGGUAACGGCCCACCAAGGCGAUGAUCAGUAGCCGGUCUGAGAGGAUGAACGGCCACAGUGGGACUGAGACACGGCCCAGACUCCUACGGGAGGCAGCAGUGGGGAAUCUUCCGCAAUGGACGAAAGUCUGACGGAGCAACGCCGCGGGAGUGAUGACGGCCUUCGGGUUGUAAAGCUCUGUUAAUCGGGACGAAUGGUUCUUGUGCGAAUAGUGCGAGGAUUUGACGGUACCGGAAUAGAAAGCCACGGCUAACUACGUG
rnacentral:rRNA from 1 species